ensembl:lncRNA
CCACUUUUUUGUUAAAAAAAAAAAAAAAGACGAAGAUAAUGUUUUUAUGACUAUGGUUUUAGAGCAGUUACAUUUGUAGAUUAUAAAAUUCGUAAUUAAUUUUAUUUUUUUAAAUAAGUGGUGUAUCACCAGAUAAUAAGUAUCCCAAUGUAUAGUACAACAGUCAUUUUUGUUUAUUUUUAUAAUUUUUUAAAAGAGGCAAAAACUAGCUUAUAAAAGAGGAGGAAUAAUUGUAUGGAAACACUUUGUAUGGAAACACUUUGUAUAUGUGUGUUUAAGCUUAAAAGCUACAAGAAAUAAUAGUAAUAAUAAUUUUCACAACGGUGUACAUAUAUAUAACAGCUAACUAGGUACAAAAACAAGAAAAAAAAAAUGGAUUCGGAUUUAGAUUUGGGUUCGAAUUUGGGUUUAGAAAUUGACGAGUAUGAACAUUUGUGUAUGUUAGAAGCAAAAAUUCAGAACCAAUUAAAAACUAUUGAUAGAUUUAUAAAAAUAACAAAAAAAAAUAUUGAAAAGUUAAAUGAUUAUAUAAAUAAAAGGUAUCAUGAAAUAAAAGCUUUAGCAGGUAGAAAACCAAGUAGAAUAAAAUUAAUGACGUCAGAUAAUAAUCAACAUAUGACAUUAUUUUUUGAUAAAGAAUUUGGGUUAAUACCAUCCAAUGAAGAUGCAUUAAAAUUACAUAAAUAUCAACAAAUUUUUUCUAAAUUUCGUAAAAAGUAUGAAUUUAAAAGAAAACAUUGGACGAAAAAAGAUAUAACUUUACUAUUUCGGUUAGUGGAAGAGCAGGCAAAAAAAUAUGCUAUAAUAUUUUUAAUAGACCAAAAUUUACCUUAUGAUUUAAAAAUGCAAAGACAUAAAGAAAUUCAAGAAGAGAAAGAUAUUCAAUACUUAUUUAAACAAAUAAAAAUUUAUUUUGAUAAAAGGGGUUCUAUGGCGGAUGGUAGUCCUACGAAAAGCGAUACAAAAGGUGAGAGAAAAAACGAGAGAAAAAGUGAAAGAAAAAACGAGAGAAAAAGUGAAAGAAAAAACGAGAGAAUUAGUAAAGUAGAACACACAGACACAAAUACAUUACUAAAAACAGACAUUAAAAUAGACAACUCAUUUUCUAUUUUUUUAAAACAAUUUUGGAUAAACAUUUCAGAAGAAUUUCAAAAUGUUGGAGAUGCUAUGGAAUGUCAAAGAGUAUGGUUGUAUUAUGGAUGUUUCGAAGACGAUAAACAAAAAAAAUGGAACAAUGAAGAUUUAAAAAAUUUAUUAACUUUGAGUAAAAAAUAUAAUGAAAGAAAUUGGUUAAGUAUAGCUAAAGAAUUAAAUAAAAAUAUAAGUCCGUUAAGUUGUUUUGAAAAAUAUUUGAAAAUAAAUAAAUUGCAAGAACAAAAACGAAAAGUAACAUUAAACAGAAUAGCAUUUAAUGUUUUAGAAGAUAUACAUUUACAACUUAUAGUCUCAAUACUUGAUAAUAAAAAUUGGUAUGAGAUUCAAAAAUAUAUGGAGUAUUUAAAUUCAAAUAAUGCUAGGUUUCAAAUGAAAAAUAAAUUAAAAAAUGAUGAAAAUGAAGAUGAACAACAUAUAAAUAGGUCUAAACGUCAAAUAGCUUAUAAGCGACGGUAUUUACUCAUAAUCAAGGAUAGGCAGUAAGGAUAACCUUGUACAAUAAGUAUAUAUAUAUAUAUAUGAGUGGGUAGUUAUUGGUAUAAAAUAGCUACAUAUAUAUUUGUAUAUGUAACAACUUUUACUACUACAUUUUGUUACUUAUUCAUUAAGUUUAUUCAUUUUUAAACUCGUUCUUCAAAUAUAUAUAUAUAUAUAUAUAUGUAUGUAUGUAUAUAUGUAUGUGUAUAUAUGCUUAUUUUAUUUUAUUUUUUUUUAAUACUAUACUUUUUCGUUAUAUCGAUCGAGGGUGCAC